AGAGUUUGAUCCUGGCUCAGGAUGAACGCUGGCGGUCUGCUUAACACAUGCAAGUCGAACGAAUCUCUUCGGGGAUUAGUGGCGGACGGGUGAGUAACGCGUGAGAAUCUACCAAAAGGACUGGGACAACCACUGGAAACGGUGGCUAAUACCGGAUGAGCCGCAACGUAAAAGAGGAAACUCGCCUUUUGAAGAGCUCGCGUCUGAUUAGCUAGUUGGUGAGGUAAAGGCUCACCAAGGCGGCGAUCAGUAGCUGGUCUGAGAGGAUGAUCAGCCACACUGGGACUGAGACACGGCCCAGACUCCUACGGGAGGCAGCAGUGGGGAAUUUUCCGCAAUGGGCGAAAGCCUGACGGAGCAAGACCGCGUGAGGGAGGAAGGCUCUUGGGUUGUAAACCUCUUUUGUCAGGGAAGAACACAAUGACGGUACCUGAAGAAUCAGCAUCGGCUAACUCCGUGCCAGCAGCCGCGGUAAUACGGAGGAUGCAAGCGUUAUCCGGAAUUAUUGGGCGUAAAGCGUCCGCAGGUGGCACUUCAAGUCUGCUGUCAAAGACCGGGGCUUAACCCUGGAAAGGCAGUGGAAACUGAAGCGCUAGAGUGUGGCAGGGGUAGAGGGAAUUCCCGGUGUAGCGGUGAAAUGCGUAGAGAUCGGGAAGAACAUCGGUGGCGAAAGCGCUCUACUGGGCCACAACUGACACUCAGGGACGAAAGCUAGGGGAGCGAAUGGGAUUAGAUACCCCCGUAGUCC
rnacentral:rRNA from 1 species